CCACUAUCCUGUGAAGCUACAGUGCCUUAAAAGAGUCCUGACCAUUACAGUUUUUACAAUUAGAAUUUUGAUAAAUGGAUUUGAUGUGUCUAUAUCGCAUUUUAGGGCACUGUAGCAGUUCGAUAGUUAAAAUUACCCCGUGAAUGCAUACUAUUUGUGAAAGUAGACACCAGGGGCAAUGUCAUUUGGUAUAUUUUGAGCAUUAUUAUACAGUUAUU